UUAUAAAUAAAGGCAACAGUAGUAUACCGCUGUUCAAAACUCGUAAAUCUAUGGACAAAAAAACAAAAUUGGGGUACAAACUAAAACUGAGGGAAACGCAUUAAAUAUAAGAGGAGAACAACGACACAACAUUAAAAUGUAACAUACACAGAAACGGACUAAGCAUUAGACAAAAUCCGAUGAGAAUAACAAAUAUAACAUCAAAACCAAAUACAUGAAUUUGGGAUAGAAAAGUACCGUGACACGUCUUAUAGUAAUGUGAAUGCACACUCAAAUAUAAGAGAAAACAAACGACACAACGGAAACACAACGUUAAAAUGUUACACACACAGAAACGAACUAUAAUAUAACAAUGGCCAUUUUCCUGACUUGGUACGGGAUAUUUUUAAAGAUACAAAUGGUGGGUUGAACCUGGUUUUGUGGCAUGCCAAACCUCGCACUUUAAUGGCAAUGUUAAAUAUAACAUUGAAAUGAC
rnacentral:lncRNA from 1 species